CCUACGGGUGGCAGCAGUGAGGAAUAUUGGUCAAUGGACGCAAGUCUGAACCAGCCAUGCCGCGUGCAGGAAGACGGCUCUAUGAGUUGUAAACUGCUUUUGUACGAGGGUAAACGCAGAUACGCGUAUCUGUCUGAAAGUAUCGUACGAAUACGGAUCGGCUAACUCCGUGCCAGCAGCCGCGGUAAUACGGAGGAUUCAAGCGUUAUCCGGAUUUAUUGGGUUUAAAGGGUGCGUAGGCGGUAGGAUAAGUUAGAGGUGAAAUCCCGAGGCUCAACUUCGGAAUUGCCGUUGAUACUGGUCGGCUAGAGAGUAGUUGCGGUAGGCGGAAUGUAUGGUGUAGCGGUGAAAUGCUUAGAGAUCAUGCAGAACACCGAUUGCGAAGGCAGCUUACCAAGCUACUACUGACGUUGAGGCACGAAAGCGUGGGGAGCGAACAGGAUUAGAUACCCUGGUAGUC
rnacentral:rRNA from 1 species